CCUACGGGAGGCAGCAGUGAGGAAUAUUGGUCAAUGGACGCAAGUCUGAACCAGCCAAGCCGCGUGAGGGAGGAAGGCUCUAUGUAUUGUAAACUGCUUUUGUACGAGGAUAAACGCAGGUACGCGUAUCUGGCUGAAAGUAUCGUACGAAUAAGGAUCGGCUAACUCCGUGCCAGCAGCCGCGGUAAUACGGAGGAUGCAAGCGUUAUCCGGAUUUAUUGGGUUUAAAGGGUGCGUAGGCGGUCGGUUAAGUUAGAGGUGAAAUCCCGAGGCUCAACUUCGGAAUUGCCUCUGAUACUGGUCGGCUAGAGAGUAGGUGCGGUAGGCGGAAGGCAUGGUGUAGCGGUGAAAUGCUUAGAGAUCACACAGAACACCGAUUGCGAAGGCAGCAUACCA
rnacentral:rRNA from 1 species